CAAGUCCAUUACGAUGAAGGUGUAGCGAUCCACAUCGGCCCCGAGCCGUGCGCAGGCGUCCGCGAGGAUGUCGGCGAAGCGUCGGCAGGGGAGCGUGCAGGCCAUCCAUUGAGCCGCGACAUCUACGACAUCCUGGGUGCCGACGUCGUUCUGAAGACGGAAGGCAACACGGCGGGGCGCGUCAUCGCAAGCGCUUCGACGACCCGGCGCGG
rfam:Burkholderia thailandensis MSMB43 PMP6xxBPSxx381-1155, whole genome shotgun sequence.